UGGAGGAAAGCAGGGGAUCGUGAGACCUUGCGCUUUUGGAGUGGCCGAUGCCUGAUUAGCUAGUUGGUGGGGUAAGAGCCUGCCAAGGCGACGAUCAGUAGUUGGUCUGAGAGGACGACCAGCCACACUGGGACUGAGACACGGCCCAGACUCCUACGGGAGGCAGCAGUGGGGAAUUUUGGACAAUGGGCGGAAGCCUGAUCCAGCAAUGCCGCGUGAGUGAAGAAGGCCUUCGGGUUGUAAAGCUCUUUCAGUCGAGAAGAAAAGGUUGCGACUAAUAAUCGCAACUUAUGACGGUAUCGACAGAAGAAGCACCGGCUAACUACGUGCCAGCAGCCGCGGUAAUACGUAGGGUGCAAGCGUUAAUCGGAAUUACUGGGCGUAAAGGGUGCGCAGGCGGCCUUGUAAGUCAGAUGUGA
rnacentral:rRNA from 1 species